CCUACGGGCGGCAGCAGUGGGGAAUAUUGGGCAAUGGGCGCAAGCCUGACCCAGCAACGCCGCGUGAAGGAAGAAGGCUUUCGGGUUGUAAACUUCUUUUCUCAGGGACGAAGCAAGUGACGGUACCUGAGGAAUAAGCCACGGCUAACUCCGUGCCAGCAGCCGCGGUAAUACGGAGGUGGCAAGCGUUAUCCGGAUUUACUGGGUGUAAAGGGCGUGUAGGCGGGAAAGCAAGUCAGAUGUGAAAACCAUGGGCUCAACCUGUGGCCUGCAUUUGAAACUGUUUUUCUUGAGUACUGGAGAGGCAGACGGAAUUCCUAGUGUAGCGGUGAAAUGCGUAGAUAUUAGGAGGAACACCAGUGGCGAAGGCGGUCUGCUGGACAGCAACUGACGCUGAGGCGCGAAAGCGUGGGGAGCAAACAGGAUUAGAUACCCUAGUAGUC
rnacentral:rRNA from 1 species